rnacentral:rRNA from 1 species
AUGCCACGCCGUGCGAAGCUUGUUGAUGACACCAAAUGGAGGGAAGUAGCAUUUGCUAACAGAUAUGCCCUGUUUAUCGGAUACCUGUCCAUGGCCAUCAGGGGUCUGGGCUUCCUGGUGCUUACUUGGACCACCGUCGUGCUUCUUGGUGGAUUUGUCUCUACACUGCAGAGGAAGGACUUUUGGUGUCUUACAUUCAUUACCCUUGUGCAGACAGCUGGGAUAGUCUUGUUAAAAUUUGGUUGA